AUGAAGGGAAUUAGGUUAAGUCUGGGCGACGAUCCCAAUUCGUCUUCCUCUCUCGAACGAACGCGGCGGUUCACUGUUCAUCCUCUCCAAUUGAAAUCAUACAAAACGGCCUCCUCGCGAAUCAGCGCCUCCGUCUUGCUUCAAGGUCCGCUCGAGAAUUCUAUUUUAUCCCGGUUCCCUUUUUAUUUGAGUCUCACCUCCGUCGAAGCUAAAUGCCCAUCAUCUUCUCCGCGAUGGUUCGUAGAUUCGAAUGACACCUAA